rnacentral:lncRNA from 1 species
CUCACUCAUAUAGACCGUUUGGCCAUUACAUCGGUAAUGUACUGGUUAGCAAUGCAGGCGAUUAAAUUAAAGCUGCAAGCAUCGGCAGAGAAUAAUGGCAUAUUGGGAAAGCGUCAGAGUG